AGGCCUGAUGUAGAAGGCACUCGGCUAAGCCCUAGUUACUGGCACUCGGGCACCUGCGCCCCCUCUCAGCAAACUCCAUGUCUCAUGAAAUUAGGACUGGAUUUCCACUUUAUUUUGAAAAUAUGGCCAAGAUCCGUCCACGUGUGGCUGACUCAGAGCUGUGACAUUAAGGGAAAAUAAAGGAAAUGGUUGAGCUGCCUUUUCAGACAACACUGGAAUUUUUGAAGAACUCAAGAAUCAGUAUACUGAAAGGUUUGUGCCGUGAAGUCGCUGCUUGUGAAGCCUGUGUGCAUCCCAAGUGCUGACAAGGACAAUGGAAGACACGUCAUUGAUAAGCUCCUUUAAAAGGCCAGAGAGGCCCCUCGAAAGGGACUGGUAGAUGAAAAAGAUUGGUAAAAUAAACCCAAACAUUUGGGGGGGAAAAGGUGAUUUUAUUAUUUUUUAUUUUACUUUAUUUUAUUUUUUGAGACAAGGUAUCGCUCUGUCACCCAGGCUGGAGUGCAGUGGCAUGAUCUUGGCUCACUGCAGCCCCGGCUUCCCAGGUUCAAGCGAUCUUCGUGCCUCAGCCUCCCAAGUAGCUAGGACUACAGACACACGCCAUGAAGCCUGGCUAAUUUUCAUAUUUUUUAUAGAGACAGGGUUUCCCCAUGUU